AUCUGCAUCUGGAGAGCUGGUCUGCUCAAGCACAUCCAGCAUCAUAUCCCCUGGCCUUUCCAUGGACAAGGGGGAUUAUUGCUGUUUGGCUCCAUCCUCUGAUCCCUGGGGUGAUUGAGUAGACAACUGGCUUGGCAGUGCCUGGGACCACAGUGAUCCUCACAGAAGGGAUGGCAGGAUCCCUUUAGCACUGUCUACAAGGAGUUCCUGGUGCAUGAGCAUCUCCUGACCCUGCACAGUCCCUGUGUCCAGAAACCCCCAUGAAACACCCUCCUACCCGAGAUCUGGGGCAAGACCUGGCACAGUCUCUUGCUGACAGGUGUCUUUCAGGCUGUGUGUGACCAUUCCAACCUGUUGAAUUGCCUAGGAAGGGAGCACGGCCAAACAUGAGGCACCAUCAGAGGUGUUAACAGGGAGAUGGGGUUGGUUGAGAUGGGAGAAAUCCUACCCCUUCUUUAUAGAUCUUCUAAGAGGAAAACCUGAAAAUCAGGGGACCCAGCCCUGCCUCCUGAGCCUGUUGAUCGUGUGUGUCAGCAGAUACUGUGUCCUCCACCCGCACACUGCGGCAGCACCCUGAGCAGUGUCAGGCCCCCACACGGCACUGUCCCACAGCCCCGUCUGUGGGAAGGUCACCCCUGUUCCUAGACACUGUACCUGAGCAGAGAGCACCGAGUCAGGGUUCAUGGUGGGGUCAGCUGACUCACUCCAUCCCUCCCUUGACAUCAGGAGCUGGAAUUACCGCCCUCCAUAGCCUGUGUUUAUUAUCCCCAUUGUGGGACCUUUGUGCCGGCUGGGAGCGGAGUGUUGACGUUUCUUGCGUGCCCAUGGUGACAGCGUGGUGUCACCUCUCCGGUGUCACCCCUGCCUGCCACACCCCUGCUCAAAGGGGCAGGGCCCCGCUAUUUAACGGAUGCCCUACAGCCGGGAGAGCCAAGGACAGGGAUCCCGACUGCUGCUGGUGUUGCUUCUUCUGGGAACUUUUCCACAGGUCUGCUUGGAGACCACUGAGGAUGUGUGACCCCAACCAAGGCCCACCACAACCGUACCCUGCAGUAUGCCCUCCUGCCCCUCCAGGAUACCCUGGUCCUGGCAUGGGUGGUGGCAUUGCAGUUUGCCCUGCUGCUCCUCCAGGACACCCCGGUCCUGGCACAGGUCCCUGCUCUGGCAGUGUGCCAGUCUGCUCCCCACACCCUGCUCCGCCUGGCCAGCACCCCCACGGGCACCCCCUGUUGGGGCAUCACCCCCACGGGCACCCCCCAUUGGGGCAUCAUCCCCACGGGCACCAGGAGCACCAUAAGCACCACCAUAAGAAGCACCAUGAGAAGCACCAUAAGAAGAAGCACUGCAAGCACCAUGAAGGCAAGCACUCUGGUGGUUCGUGCAGCUCAAGCAGCUCAAGCAGCUCAAGCAGCAGCUCUGACUCUGACUAAAGGUCUGGCAUGUCCCACCUGCUCCGUGGUGAUCAGCAAAACACGAGGCCAAACUCCUCUUGGGAACGCCCUGCAUGUCACUCCCCUCCCUACCCCUUUCCCUUGGAGCAAUGUUUUGCCUGCUGAUUUUUCUUGUGUGUAAGAGCUUGUAAAUCCUUUGACCUGGAUUCUCCAAGUAAAUGGACAACAUUUCCACCCUCUAUCUUUUGGGAGAGCCUGCUGGAAGUCAUCACAUGCUGUUUUCCAA
ensembl:lncRNA